GCUGGGCACAGUGGCUAGUGCCUGUAGUCCCAGCUACUAGGGAGGCUGAGGUGGGAGGAUCUCUUGAGCCCAGGAGUUCUGGGCUGUAGUGCCCUUUGGCAUCAAUAUGAUGAGCUUCUGGGAGUGGGGGACCACCAGGUUGCCUAAGGAGGGGUGAACCAGCCCAGGUUGGAAAUGGAGCAGGUCAAAACUCCCAUGCUGAUCAGUAGUGGGAUUGCGCCUGUGAAUAGCCACUGCACUCCAGCCUGGGCAACAUAGUGAGACCCCAUCUCUA
ensembl:misc_RNA Metazoa_SRP Metazoan signal recognition particle RNA